rnacentral:rRNA from 1 species
AUACGUAGGUGGCAAGCGUUGUCCGGAUUUAUUGGGCGUAAAGCGAGCGCAGGCGGUUUCUUAAGUCUGAUGUGAAAGCCCCCGGCUCAACCGGGGAGGGUCAUUGGAAACUGGGAGACUUGAGUGCAGAAGAGGAGAGUGGAAUUCCAUGUGUAGCGGUGAAAUGCGUAGAUAUAUGGAGGAACACCAGUGGCGAAGGCGACUCUCGGGUCUGUACCGGACGCUGGGGCUCGAAAGCGGGGAGAGAAAAAGGGAUGAGAUACCCGGGUAGUCCACGCUGUAAACGAUGAGUGCUAAGUGUUGGAGGGUUUCCGCCCUUCAGUGCUGCAGCUAACGCAUUAAGCACUCCGCCUGGGGAGUACGACCGCAAGGUUGAAACUCAAAUGAAUUGACGGGG